GAGAGUUUGAUCCUGGCUCAGGAUGAACGCUGGCGGCGUGCCUAAUACAUGCAAGUCGAGCGAACGGACGAGAAGCUUGCUUCUCUGAUGUUAGCGGCGGACGGGUGAGUAACACGUGGAUAACCUACCUAUAAGACUGGGAUAACUUCGGGAAACCGGAGCUAAUACCGGAUAAUAUUUUGAACCGCAUGGUUCAAAAGUGAAAGACGGUCUUGCUGUCACUUAUAGAUGGAUCCGCGCUGCAUUAGCUAGUUGGUAAGGUAACGGCUUACCAAGGCAACGAUGCAUAGCCGACCUGAGAGGGUGAUCGGCCACACUGGAACUGAGACACGGUCCAGACUCCUACGGGAGGCAGCAGUAGGGAAUCUUCCGCAAUGGGCGAAAGCCUGACGGAGCAACGCCGCGUGAGUGAUGAAGGUCUUCGGAUCGUAAAACUCUGUUAUUAGGGAAGAACAUAUGUGUAAGUAACUGUGCACAUCUUGACGGUACCUAAUCAGAAAGCCACGG
rnacentral:rRNA from 1 species